CCACUGUGAAGGACAGAUUGUCAUUUCUAUCUCCACCAGAGAUAGGUGUGUAGGGCUAAAAGCUGAGAACGCCAAAGACUUCUUCUGCAGUUCCUCUCUCUGUGCCUUGGAUGACCCUCCCAGCUACAAAUUCUAGGCAGUCUGUUCUGCUCGGGCACGUGUUACUUUGUUCUCAAGCCCAUCACACCAUGCAGACAUCACCACAAGGCCCACCAUCUCCUUCUGGAGACUAGCACAUCCUUCAGGGAGCUGGAACCAGUUGUGAAUUGAAGGAUGCCAAGCAUCUGCUGAACAGCAAGAAAACAAUCAAACUGGUGAAAAUUGCAGCUUGACAUGGCACAGGGAGAGGACCA
rnacentral:lncRNA from 1 species